GGGCAGACACACUGAAGUCGCUAGACAUUUGAGGAACACAUCCGGGGAAGAAGACACAGGUGGCUGGUCAUGGAGAGCCCGCUGGGGGAAGAGCACACAGACAGGCACCGGCAGGCCAUUGACCAGCGGGACAAGGUGGGCUCAAUGUCAUCACAAGGGUGCUUAAGAGGGAAAGAGGAAGCCAUGAGGGUCAGAGUCAAAGGAAGACUUGAAGAUACUACACUGCGGACUUUAAAGAUGAAGGAAGGGGCGAAAACCAAGAAUGUGGGAAGCCUCUAGAAGCUAGAGAAGGCAAGGAAACAAAUUUUCCACUAGAGCCUCCAGAAGGAACACAGCCCUGCUGACCCACUGUAAUGUCUGACCUCUAGAUGUGUAAGGGUAGUAAGACUGAAAGUCUCAGAAAGGCACUGUUAAAUUCUUAUUCCUCAACUAUGCAACUCAAAACUGGGGUCCUCAGCAGUGAGCGAGGGGUGAGAGAAGACACUGUAUAAACAUGGCACAUCCUCCUGGAAAGUCAACUUUACUCAAAGGUUCUUACACACAGUGACAGCUAGCAGAGUCUAAAAUGCUGACAUUAUGACUUAGAGAUGUGAUAAAGAGAAACAUCUAUUGCAUUUUCUGUAAGUAAAUGUGGUGCCGGCAUUGAGAGAACAUACGUAAUCAGAUACCUGUUCUCCCUGAGUUUCUUAAUUUAAGCCUCGCGAUUCCUAAUUAGCAGUUAGAUUGCAUCCAUUGUUAUUUUGUCUUUGGUUAUCAAUGAUGAUCAACCUUUGCUAAACAAAGAUAUGUCAUCAUGCUGGGGACACUCAUGGAUUUUUUUUUAAAGGUUUUAACAUUUGAUAAUAGGUUUUCCAAUAGCUUGAAGGGUAGCUUUUAACAUUUCUUUUCCAGCUGAAGUAUUUCCUGAGUUCUGUCCAAGCCCUCUGUAGUUAAAGAAAAGGCUUUUUGACACUGAAUAGACAAUGUUGUGGCUUUUUUUUUCCUUCUUCAGACAAAUGUAUAGGCAUUUAGACCGCCACGUUGUACUCUCGUAAUUGAGAUACCUUGCAGAAAUGGCAAUUAAGGGUGACUCGUGUCAAAAAUAUUCAGGACAAAUUACAUUUUACUGAUUUUUAAAAACUUUCAAAGGUACUCUCUCCUCUUUCUUUCUCCUUUCUCUCUUCCUGCCUCCCUCCCACCCGCUCCUCGUUUUUUCUUUUAAAUAUUAAGUAAACUAUUUGCAUUUUUACGUCUCAUCAAAGUUGUUCCAGGUUUUUUCUGGGUUUACUGAAACUCCAAAUCGACUACUCAGAUCAAAACAAUUAGUGAAGUCUAAGGUAUUCUUAAUUCCUGAAAUGAAAACAGAAUGGACGUUCGGGACGUUCUGUUUUGCUCUGGCUACCCGCUUGGCUUCUCGCUCAGAAUAUUCUUGCUCUCAAGUUAGUUCCAGUUCUGUUUAUUUUGUCCUGAGCUCAGUGAACUUUCCAAAGCCCUACUCUUCAAACAACACUUUUUUUCCCCCGCCCCGUGAGCUGGAGUUUAUUUUGUGCUCACCCUUCAUUCUGUGAGUUGUGAAUAAUUUUAACACAAAGAAAAAAAAAUCUCCUCCUGACCACGGAGAGAAGAGGGGAUUUUAGAAUAAAGAUAAAAAUUGCUGUUUUAGCCCCCAAAGCAAAGGACUUGGGAAAGAAGAGAAAAGGGGGGAAAAUAGAACAGCAAAGGAAAAAAAAAAAAAAAAAAAACAGAAAAAAAUUUUUUAUAAGGGUGUCAGUACAAAACAGGUGUUUGAUGAAGCUCAAGCAAAACAAAUGACAAAGUUAGCAUUGAAAGGCCAAAUACGUGAUACACAUUUAAACUACUUAGGUAAAUUUAUUUAUGAAAUAAAUAUGCAGUUUUUCAAAUUUGAACAUGGAGCAAAUGUUUACAGAUUGAAACUUAUCAUUUCUUGAUUACCAGUAUGAAGUAGGGCAAUAGUCCUAUUGAAAGCCAUUCUUAAUUGGGCUCAUUGUAAAUGUUUGGUUAAAAGAAAAGAUUAAAGUGAGCUUUGGCCUCUGUGGAAUGCUGAGGCUGGUGAAAUUUCUGGUUCUAGCAUUAUCCUCAAAUUGUCUCACAGAGAAUUAUAUUUUACAAAGUUAGAAGGCGGAAGAACCCUACUCUUUGUUUUAGGUUUGCCUAGCAUCCAGUCAGAGAUGGGUAAAUAAGGACAGAACCAUGGGACUCCAGUGGCCUUACUUAGGAGGCCCAUACUAAUGGCAACGGCAAGACAGUGCUACAUAGACAUAAAUAAUCUGUGAUUGCAGAUGUGCAGGUACAGUAUAAAAAAAUUAUUCUAUCCUUAUAGUCUUAGGUGUUGGCACAUUUCUUUUGAGCCCAUGUAUAGAAGAGGACAACAUGAAAAAUGAAAUAUUCAAGCCGUGGAGAAAAAGAAAAUAUAUUGUUGUAUUUUAUUUAUGGAAUGCCCACUAUGUGCUGGUUCUCUACUGGCCCUAGAGAAGUACAGCUGUGAUCAAGACAGACAUAGUUCCUGCCCCCAUGGAGCUUACAAUCUAUCGCAGAGCUAGACCAGGGAAAAGAGUAUGAAGUGUGUAGAAUGAGAAGUAGAGAGUGUUACAGGAACACCCAGAAAACUAAGGUUAUUGGUUUAGUUGAUUUUUCCCCCUCUUUUUUUCUUCCCUCUUUUUCCUCUUCACCGUCUCUUUUCCUCUUCCCUUUCUUUCUCUCUUUCCCCUUUCCCUCUCUCUUUGUUCCUCUCUUUCCCUCUUGAUCUUUAUUUUCCAAACAGAAUUCAGCCAAACUCAUUUUUUAAAAGAGAAACAGUCUAACAUUAUUUAGAAAGAGCAGCAUAUUAUAAGUGGUUACAGCCAUAGACUUGGAAGGGUGUGACCCAGAUUGGAAUCCUGGCUCUGCCAUCAACUAGCCUGUAUUCUUACUCAAAAGAUAUUAUCUGUGUCUUCUUUUAUUAAAAAUAGGGCUAGAAAUAUGUACUUUUAGGAAUUUAUAGGAAUUUUAGAUGUGACCUUGUAAGUAAAGUCUCUGGCUUCCUUUCUAGCAGGUAGUGAUCAUGCUAAAAUCGUUAGCUACUACCAUAUUAUUAUUAUUACUAUUACUAUUAUUAUUUUUCUUUUUAUUUUGUAGAAGCAAUGUCUGUAUUAUACAACAGCUAAAAAAUAGUGAAUGAUGAUAUUAAUCAAUUGAAAGAAUUUUCUCCAAAAACAAUGACUAGCUUUGGAAUUACGUAAUUCUUAUGUUUUGUUUUGCCUAUUCACAAAAGCUGUUGUUUUUGAAUGUUAAAUAUAAAAACCAUUUUCAAUAAAUAAAUUUUUAGAUAAGAUACUAGAGCCAUAUUAUUUACAAUUGUGUUGUCUUUUCCUGUGAACAGUUUUAGGAUUAAAGCUUGAGCCAAAUUUCAAUGAGCCCCUUUAGGAGAUAGGGAAAUUUAUUAAUACUUACUUUGAUUCAAGAGUGAUUGAGACAUAUUUCUUAAUGCACCCAUAUAGAGUAAUGUGAUAGAUUUUUGUGUGUUUCUUGUGAAAUCAGUUGUACUGUAUUAGAGACAAACCCUAUGCAGGUGUGAAUAUGUAUUUAUAUAAUUUGAUAGUGCUAAAGCACAAAUUUAUAUAAUUUGAUAGCACUAAUUCAAAAAUUAAAAUUGUUAUAAAUUUGUCCUUAAUCAGGACAUUUAAAAAUCAGUCUUCGUGAACACUUUUAGAUUCUGGAAGUGCUCACACUACAUCCCCAUGUACAAAAGGUGAAGGUGACAUAAUCACAUGUAGAAUUUAGAUAGCCUCCUCUCUGGUUUGUACAUAGUGUGCAUGUCCCCCACCUCCAAUCCCAGCCUAGGCUUUAGCAUCAUUGAACAUCUCUCUUCCAGGAAUGGUCCAUUUACUCACAUGCCUUCUGUUUUGCUUGUGUGGUCUGAUCAGCCUGAAAUGCCUUUCCCUGUCGGGAUGAAAUCUUACUUAUCUUUUCAGGUCUGGUUCCAGUGUCGUCUAUGGUGUGAUUCAUCUCCCAAUACCCCUGGGUGCAAUAAAACUGGUCCCUUCUUUGUACCCCGUAGCUCUUUGUUCCUCUCCUCGUAUGUGAUGGCUGUUUGAGCAUCUUUUCACCCCUCCACACCAGGAACUCCUCAGUGAGUUCUUGAGAUCUAUGCCCUAUUCACCUUUCCAGAAAAUUUGAUUCCUGUCUUCAAGGAGUUUCCAGUCUGGGCAAGGAAGCAGACAUAUAAACAUGGAAUUACGUUGCAAUUUGGAAAGUGAUGUAAAACAAUUAUCUAAAUUAGUGUACACAGAUGAGCACUAAUUUACUAAAGAAUCUUGCUUUUCUCAUAUAACAACUGAGCAGUCGGCAUGUAGGUGUAGUCUGUUUCUUAAAAUAGCAAUGUUUUCCCAGUCUUCAUAUCAAUAUUUAUGUUGUUACUCAUGCUCUGUUAAAACAAAACAAAAUAAAACAAAAUCUCUCAAAUGACAUUGUAUAUCUAAUGUUAGUGAUGGGGAAUUUAGGAGUCUGUUGAAAAUUGUGACACAUAGCAGGACUGAUGCUUCAUACUCCAAACCAAAUAAAGUUUCACUGGACCUUAGCUGUAAGCUAAGACUUUAAGUGCCACUUAUUUGUUGAGUUUUGCCACUCUAAAUUGCUCAGCUUGGCACAAGAUCUUUAAAAGAAGUUAUAGUUCAAUUGGUUUGUGGUUUAUUUUCUAUUAUAUUAAAAUGACCUGCUUAUAUUAAAAUGACAUGCCUUUCAAAACCUACUAGUGCUUUAAAACAUUGUUGUAGUGAUAAAAGAUUUCCAAAUGUUAUUCUGAAAAGCAAGGAAAAGGAUUUCAGACAAACUCAUAGCGCAGUAUAGUGGAUUAUGUCGAGCUCCUGGAUGUAGCUAUAAAAUCAUCUUUUCUUUCAUAUAAGCCUAGAGUUUUGGGCUUUUGGAAAAUGUUUUCUAUAAUUGUUAUUUUUCGAUACCUGUUUUUUUUUUUUUUUAAUAUUCAUUCUGAGGUAGUCCUAUUACAGUAGGCUCAUAACACCAUAACUUUACCCAUAUAUAGCCAGGCAAAGCUUUCUGCUGUUAAGUAGAACUUAUGAAUACUUAAGAGAAGCAAAGCAUUGCUAUUCUUGAGCAAAUUCGGAGAGUUUAGAAACAUUAUUUUGAAAUGUGCUUCCUUUAAGUCAGAAGAACUUAAUUAAGUUCCCAGGGUUAAUUGUUUCUGAAGUGUUAACAUGUCAUUUGUCUAUUCAAACUCCAAAGCAAAUCUAAUACGGGAUUUAAUAACCUGUUUAUGUGAAUAGAAAUUUAGGGUGAGGGUGGCGUGGGAGAAGAAGGAAAAGCUAAUAGGCUUUUACCUAGUUAGUGGGUUUAAGGAAGAAUUCUUUCUGUCUUUAUUUGAAACAAAAGGUAAAUCCUAUGUUCAAAACUCCUUCUAUUUGGGAGUAUAAAUUGGGAUGACAAGGAAGUUUUGGAACAAAACAGUAUUUUUACACUUUGUUCAUUUCAUAUUUAUCACUAGCUUGUUUGCUAAUUUUCAUUUGCAAGAGGCAAUUCUUCCAGCUAACUGGGUGCCUCAAUGGGCCACUGAUUUCUUUGAAGUGACAGUCUGUAAAUAUGCAUAAAAAAGGGAUGCAAUUAGCGUGUGUGUGGUUCAGUGCAGCCUGAUUCCAUUGGCAAGUUUACCCACAGUGUUGAUAAGCUACAUUAUCUAGAAAAUUGGCCGCUGAAAAACAGCACCUCUGAUUGCCAGCAAAGGUUCCAGAUAACAGGGUGCUGAAGAGAAAUAUAAUUGAGGUUGAAUAUAUUAACCAAGGUGUCACAUGCUCCUUAGAAGCUCUAAUUUAUCAGCAUGUUGGAAUUUUUAUUAACAUUUGGAAUGCGUUUCUACCACACUAAUGAAGUGGAAUUGGCAGUUCAGGUUUUAGUUAUUGUCAUUUCUGAGAAGUUAAAUGUAAUUUCUCGUUAGACACAGUUAUGUAAAUAUAUUUGUUCAGGGGCUGAAAAAAAUUAUACAUUUUACAAAAUACAGAUAUGUUGUUAAGAGGCAGUGUGACAAAUCAGUGGUGGCUUGAGUCCUGAAAAUCAGCCAUGUAUUUAUGCUGCAUUUUGUACAUUACAGCUCUUCUUUGUGGGGGGAAUUUGAGAGAAAUGAAGGAAGCUUAAUUUCAUUAACUCUGUGACUGGCUCGCCUUUGUGAAAAACAGUUAAAAUUAGCCACUGUUUUAGUAGGCUAGCACUUCUAAAAGGAUUUUAUGAUUAAACUAUUUUUUUAAAUGAAAACUUGCUCAAAUUAUAAGGUGAAUUAAGCUUUCAUGGACGAUAUCUGCUUUUCUUUUUUCUAUUCUUCUUGGAAAUGCCCAAGAUUUAUAUUCAUUUUCUAAUUCCAACAAAUAGGUUUGAAAGAUAUUUGUUAACAAGACUAUUAAUUUCUAUUAUAAAAAUAAAUUGAGAUGUGCAAAUUUGAAAUUAUUUUAGAUUGCAUACAUAUGUGAUAACACUAUAUGUUUUUUGAAGCAAGGAAAUAAAAAUCAUAAACUUUGGGAUAAUGUUUCCUUGGGAAUAAAGAGGAGGAAAGAGUCAGAGGUAUCAGGGGAACAUACACAGGCAGUUUCAGCUGUAUAUUAAUAGCUACUAAGUUUGGUGAUAGAUUUUUGAGUGUCUGUUUUAUUAUGAUAGUUCGUAAUUACAUAUAUGUAACAUGUGUUUAUAUAGAUCCUAUAUCAGAAUAUAAAACAUUUUCAAAAGGAAAUAACUCAAUUUCUAUUGACUCGUAAAUUUUGUUUUCCCAUGGAAAUGAUUAUGAAUUACAGUCUGUAGAGCACUGUGUAUUUGUAACAUGCUUAGUAUUAGUUAAUUGCACACAUCUCCGACCUCAGGGAAUGAUGCCACAUUUGUCCUCCAUUAGUAAUAGAUACGCUGGUCACAAGGCAUUGGUUCCCUAGAGACAAAUGACCCACGGAAGAAAUUCUCAGCUUUCCCUUUGCAUUCACUCCUUAGCAACUGCCAGUCUUCUACUGUCCUAUAGGGCUCCUGAUUUCAUUCCUUCUUCUUCUACUGGCUGCAACCACUCUUGGCAUUCCUUGACCCCGUUUAUCCCUGCUGCAAUACUUCCGUGCAUUUCACACACUUAACCUUUAGCCCUCAAUGGUAAACUUCUCAUCUCUAUCACCUAUCCCAUCACAUGUGUGUGGGGGGAAGAUUUAGAAGAUGGGGGUGGGGAGGAGUGGUGUUCCCUUUAUUAGAAGGAACUUCUGGUUGGAAUUGAACUUGACACAGGAGAAUCUCAUGCCCGUUGGACAGUUACUCUUAGGAUACCCAUUAUGGUAGAUGUAGUAAAUUGUCGCUUAGCACACAUUUUGCUUUUCUUCCAGUGUCACCAGUUAGAUAGCAAAAAUCUGUAAUUCUCAGACUCUCUUGCAGCUAGGGUUCUGCAAAAAAAUUAGGUUCACAUAGGUGCAUGCAGGUGCCGUUUGAAAGGUAAUAUUCUAAGUGUGGUUCACUAAGUCUCUGGGUGUGGAGUGGCAAUGUGGUGGCCCUGAUUCCAGAUCAUGCUUUUAUCACUGUGUCUUUGAAAUUAGCUGUUCUGUAGGCAGCCUUCAGAUUCCCCACAUUCUUGAGCAAGCAGAUGUGGAGACUCCCCUGGCCCGCCAAUUUUUCAGUGUGGUUACCUCGAUUUAUCUGCUUCUUUGGCCCUUCCUACAGUUUUGCAGGCUCUUAUUUCUGUGUGUUAAAUCCCUUUCUGCCCAAGUCCUUUACUUUUAAGCAACUGAACCCUGAUCAAUACCCCUGCAAAUCUGGUUCAGAUGACUCCGUAACAGGGCCAGGCCCAGAGUAAAGCAAUACAGGCACCCAUGGCACAAAACUUAAGUUGUUGGGCACGUUCAGGGUCAUGGAAGUGUCUCUUUAAAUUUUAUGUCCUGGGCAACUCUCUUGCCUCACUUUAGUGCUGGCUCAGCUCAGUAAGCAAAUAGCAGAUGUUAUUUAUUUAAAAAUAAUUAAAUCACAUCUAUAACAGAUGUUGGCAAAAUACAAUCCAUGGACUAAAUCUGACCCACUGCCUGUUUUUGUAAAUAUAGUUCAGUUGGAACACAGCCGUGCUCUUCUUUUAUGUACUAUCUAUGGCUGCUUUUGCACUGAAGAGCAGAAUUGAGUAGUUGCAACAGAGACCGCAAAGCAGAAAAUAUUUACUCUCUGGCCAUUUACAGAAAAAGUUUGCAGAUUCAUGCUCUAUAUGCUACUGUGGAUAUGCCUAAAUGUGUGGGGUAAGACUGCCUGAGAUCAAAUUCUGGUUUCUCUAUGAGUCUCUGGCUAAGUUGCUUAACUUCCAUGAGUGGUGUGCUGGAAUCACCCAAAACUUGUGGGUAUCUCUUCUUAACUCUAGGUCCAUUGAUCAUCUUGAUAGCCUGAAAUCAGCCAUGGUGGGAGUAUUUACUUUAGGAAAAUUGGGAAAUGCUACAAAUCGAGGCUUCCCCAGAGACCCACGAACUGAACACUUGCUGCCUCUAUAAGUAUGGAUGGACCCUGACUUAUGAUGGUGUGACUUAUGAUUUUUUUGACUUCACGAUGGUGUGAAAGUGAUAUGCAUUCAGUAGAAGCUGUGCUUCAAGUACCCAUACAACUGUUCUGUUUUUUCCUUGCAGUACAGUAGUCAAUAAACUAAAUGAGAUAUUCAGCACUUUUCUAUAAAAUAGGCUUUGCGUUAGAUAAUUUUGCCCAAAUAUGUGCUAAUGUAAGUGUUCUGAGCACACUUAAGGUGGAUUAGGAUAGGCUAUGAUGUUUGGUAGGUUAGGCAUAUUAAAUGCAUUUUUGACUUACGGUACUUUCAACUUAUGGGGGGUUUAUCAAGACGUAACCCCACUGUAAGUCGAGAGGCAUCUGUACUAGAUUCUUCUUUUUCCAAAUGAUGUGACACACACACUUAGUGCCACAUCUGGAGCCUCUUUAACCAUCAGUGCACCAAGCCCCCAGCUGCUGUGAGUGCUGCAGCUAACAGCUUAUAGCUGUGCUCUCCUCAGGGGCAGCAAAUGGCUUGCUGAUAUGGGUGGCACAAAAGCCCAGCUCCUUUGAACUAUUCUGUCAUGCAAUUUAUGCUCCCGAAUGCCUCUCUUGCCAUGGUUUAGACCAUGGCUAGACUUUGCCUGGGAUUCUUGAUUGGCUUUUUCACCUUCUCUAUCUGGCUUCACUUUUUUCAUUACAGGUUUGUUCUAAAGAAUUAAGUCCAGGAUCCAGACUAGGUGAGGUGAGGACAGCGAAGUGCCUAGAGCACACAAUAUCAGGAGGCACUCACUGUCAGGCCAAACGAGUUGUACAACCCUUCUAGGAGGAAGAAAACAGGUGCCUCCUAAAAUUUUAUGGCUUAGCUGUUUCCCUCUUCUUACCCUAGUCUGGUCCCUCCUUGCCCAGAUAAAUCACAUGCACUUGAAUUUCUGCUUUAGCCUCUAUUCGUCAGCAACCCAACCUAAGGCAAGUGGCAGUAUAAUGGAUUGUUACCUAUUGAUUGUUUUAAGGACUAAAUGAGUUAAGGUAUGGGAAACAGCAAUGAUUGAAACAGUAAUGGGGAAUGAACAAAUACAUGUAUAGAUAGAAAUGGUGAUGAGACAGAUCACUCCUGUGCCUUUGUAUGUACUCUUCUCCCUACCUUCAGUGCAUGCUCUGUUUCUAUUGGCUUAUCUAAAUGCCAUUGUCCCCCUCCUCCCUCCAAAACCCUAUUUUGUCUAUAAAACUCUUACUGGCUACAGCAUUCUAAAUGACAUUAAUUUACUCUACAUAAUUCUCCAAUCCCUGACUCCGUUUUUUUUUUUUUAACCAAAUAAUUUUUUUCCUUCCAUUGUGUUUAUGUCCUAUAAAUCAUCAUCUGUAUAACUUACUUGAAUAGAUUGACAAAUGUGGUAAAAUCAAUAUAACGAUAUUGCAAAAAUGAUCCUUAGAAGUGUGAAAAAAGAUCCAGCUGAUAACCUUUGAAGAUGUGGUUCCUGUGCUUUCUACUAAGUGUUCAAGUAUAAGGACAACCCAGGGCCUAUAGUUCACUCCAUGUGCAGCCCAGGGAGGUGGGUAUUUUGUAAUGCCUACAAAAGUUGUUUCUUUGAACGACAGACUUCUAAUUGCUAUAUUGAUAGGUAUUCCCAGAUAUCUUAGCCAGUUUUGUUCAUUGAUACUGUCACCAUCUAUCUCAGCACUCUAAUUUCUUCAUAGCUUUCUUUGUUGUUGUUUUGUUUUUGUUUUUGUUUUUAAGACGGAGUCUCACUCUGUCACCCAGGCUGGAGUGCAGUGGCGCGAUCUCUGCUCACUGCAAGCUCCGCCUCCAGGCUUCACUCCAUUCUCCUGCCUCAGCCUUCCAAGUAGCUGGGACUACAGGCUCCUGCCACCAUGCCCGGCUAAUUUUUUGUAUUUUUAGUAGAGACAGGGUUUCACCAUGUCAGCCAGGAUGGUCUCCAUCUCCUGACCUCGUGAUCAGCCCAUGUAGGCCUCCCAAAGUGGAGGGAUUACAGGCGUGAGCCACCGCGCCCGGCCUCUUCAUAGUUUUUAUCACCACUUAUAAUUUCCUAAUUAAUUUGCUUACUGACAAUCUUUCAUCCUAACAAGACUGUAAGCUCCAUGAAGACAGGCUCUUCACUCACUCCCCAUUGUUUGUAGCCCACCUUGUGCAUGGCAGGCACUCAAUGAAUAUACGUUGCAGUGACUGACAGAACAAAUGAAUUAUGUAGACAUUUUCAGAACUGGUGUAUAGUGACAUAGUAUGGGCUCAGUAUAUAUUUGCAGAGUGAGUGAAUGAAUGAAGUCACUUAAAGGAACCUUCUGGCACAUGUUUCACUGGCAAAGAGCUUCUCUUAUUUGAGUUUGAUAAAUAUUGUUGCACUUUUCUACAAAGUACAAUGAACAAUCAAUAGAUAUUCACAGGUGCUUUUCCUGAAAUUAAUCCUCAUGGAGAAAAUGCAGGAAUGUGACACCUAAAAUUGAAAGUGUGACACCACAAAUUAUUGACUCUAGAAGUACCCAAGUCAUGAGGAGAAAGAUGAGUUUAGGGUAAGGAGUGUAGCCAAAAUGAUUAGUGUGACAUUCAAAUGCUUUACAGAUUGACACAAAGAGGGAUGGGUUCACAUCAGAGCUGUUGUGCAGGUGUAGUGCUAUGACUUGGUAAUGGGAGGCCCUGCUUUGACUGUUAUUCCAACACAGGAACAAAUCAGUUGAUGUUGAAGAUAUCAGUCAACUCUGUCCUGAUGUUGGCCUAAGAGCCUCCCUUAGAACUUAUGUAGUGGGCUUGUUUGGAGAUCAUGGAGUGAACAAGGGCGGUGGGUAUUAGGAGACCCACUCUGGCUCAAAUAAGAACAGUGCUGCUUCUGUCUGGUAACACAAUGGGAGAGAGAGUCUAAACAAAUAAUCCAUAUAACAAAUAAUGUCGAUAUAAUUGUGAUUAAUAUUAGUUAAUAAAAGUCCAAUGUCUUUAAAAGCAUUUCCCAGAAGGAGCUAACCUAGGCCAGGGGUUCGGGGCAGUGUGUGUGAGUGUCUCUGCAGAAAUGACAUUUAAUCUGAGAAUGGAAGGUUAAACAGGAGUUAGGCUACAUGUUGGUGGGGAAGGUGGUUUGGAGAGAAAUUAUUGCCGGUAAAUUCUCAGCCUUUUUUCCUUAGGAAAAUGAACCCUCAAACCACCUUGGUUUCUGCUCCUUUUCUUGCUUUCACAUGCACUUACUUGCCAAUACUUAGAGGGAACACAAUGUAGUCAGUGGAAAAAAUGUGGAGUGGUAUGAACAGAUGUUUGAACCCCAGCUCUGCUCUUCACUGAGCUGUGCAUUCUUGGGUAGCCUUCUUGUUUUCUCUGAGCCUUAUCUGUAAAACAGGACUGUCCAUGAAAUGUAGGGAGGAUUAACAAUUACUCUCCCAAUGGCAAAUGCUGCUAUAGCAUCUACCAUGUACUGGUUUUAAAGUAACUCAUUUAAUCUUCCUAACAGCCCCAUGAGAUAGAUGUGGUUGCUAUCCCCAUUUCUCAGAUGUAGAAACUAAGGCAAGAGGUUAAAUAAUUUGACCAAGAUCACAUUGGCUGGUAAAUGAUGGAGCUAGGAUUCAAAUCCAGACAGCCUGGCUGUAAGGUCUCUGUGUUUUGCUACUAAUUCUUGAUUUUUAAAGUGGUCCCCAGGAAAGGGAGCAGAAGUAAUCUUCGUUGUCAUUUCCUUGGCUAUUGGUGAACCUCAGACCCCAAGGACUUUUGUUGAUCCGUAGGACUCCUCAGGGGCACAGGGCUUGGUUAUCAGAAGCAAAAGCACUCACUUUUAUUUAAGAGCUCAGUAUUGUGAUCAUUUGCCAGAAUUGGCCGUCUUGAAAGGAUUGUAUCGCUUGCCAUUUGGUUUUCAUUCUGAGGCCGCAUGUGACUAUAACGUAAAUACUUAUGGGGGAUAUCAUUACUCUGAAAUUUAAAGUUUACAUGUCAGCUCCCUGUCUUUAUAGCAACUGCUUUGGGUCAUCUCUCUUCUUGUUCAAGCCAGGAACUCUGGAAAAUCAUUCUCAUGCACAGAUUUCUAUGUCACCUCUAUCCCCGACUUCUAGCAACUCAGGGAAGGGUGGAAGUGGUUCCACCUUAUCCCAUCUGUAUAAGUCACCAAAUCUUGGCCAUGACCUGUGUUCAAAGACAGCAUCAGGACCUUAAAUUAUGAGUUGUUCUCCAACAAUUGCUGGAUUUCUUUGAAUGCCUCUGGGCGUUGAGGGCAUCAAGGGGGAGGUCUUCUUCAAGGCAGUAGGGAUUCAUGCUCUUUUGGCUGCCUUCCUUUCUUUCCUGAAGCUUUGUUUGGUGAACUCCUGCAGAUCCUCUGGUCUCAGUUCUGCAUAUCAUUUUAGAACAUAGCCUUCCUUCCUUGACUUCCUUCCCUGCAUUGAAUUCUGACCUCUUAUUAUGAUCUGUCAUCUCAUCCUUACUUAACCUUCACACAGUAUCUCCCUCUGUAUAUAUAUUUUUGCAUGAUUCAUUUUGUUGUCUGUCUUUCUAGUGAAACUGUAAGCUGCAUUCCAAGUAGGAGCUCCGUAAAUAAGGGUGGAAUGAGUGAAUGAAUGAAUGAGUGGAGAUGAGUAGCACUUACAUAGCUAUGAUUCCUAGCAUUAGCUGUUUUCAUCAUUCAGGCUAAUUGGAAUCCCAACCAGAGACCUUGAGAUUUACUAUGAAAUAUACCAGCACAUACACUUUAAAUGAAUUUUGAUUCCCCAUCUCACUCUUCCACCUUGACACUUUCACAUCAGGAUGCCCAUCACACGCCUCUUUCUCACUUUUUUUGUGUGUCGUUCUUCAGCAUGAGAUUCGUAAACAAACCUCAGUGGGAGUGCCCUCAGGAACUCAUCCAAAUCAUUUUGCCUGGAGACUGUUUAUUAGGGGUUACCUCUAGCCUGCUGCAACCUUUUCUAGAAUCAUGUAAGGGUAAAGUGGCGAACAAGAAUGGAUUUGAAACAGAAACCACCAUAGCAAUUAACACUAAUUAACAGAGCUAAGAAAAUCUUUCAUUAGGAGCGUCUAAAUCAUGCAGCCUGCUUCUACUUAGAAGGGAAAGAAAAGUGGCCUGUGAACCAUUUAAUAAAAUUUGAAGAGAUUAUUUUUCUUCCUCAUUUCUCAGAGGAUAUACUGGGGUUGGAGAAGACAAUUUGUUUAGAAGUGGAGUAAUGGGAAAGGGGUACAGGCCCCUUGCCUUCGUGCCUGUCCACACUUCCCAUGGUUCCGACCCUUGUGUUGAGUUGCUCAGCCAGGCACUUCCCUGCGUUACCUCCAUGACAGCUUUCCCUCCCCAUUAAUUCUAUAUUUUCAAAUUCUAGAGUCAUAACCAUGAGACUGACAUUUUAUUACUUGCAGACAACAGCAGCAACUACAAAAAGAGACAAUAUCUAUUCAGCACCUACUGUGUUCCAGGCACACUAUAUGAAUUACUUUGUUUAAUUUGCAAGCAAUUUUGUGAGGUAAGUGCCACUAGUAUCCCCAAUUUGCAGAUGGGAAUGGGACUAUAGUAUGGUAAAACAACUAAUUACAUUGACAAAGUAAUGGACUGCAAGCUUAUCCCUCCCAGACACAAAGUGUACAUUAGAAUAGCAUGUGCUUGGAAACAAGAUGUCUUACCUCAAGACUGGGUGGAUGUAGGUGAGUUCUGGGGAGGAAUCAGUGAUGGCAGAGGGGAGAGGGUUAGUUACGGUUUCUGGAUAAAGCGGUCAAGAGGUCAUAUUAGGAAGUGGCAUGGCUUCAGAAGCCUCUCACAUCAAACUGUAGAGUGGGCACCUUUUCCAACUGUAUACUGGUUUGACCUUAACUAUAUAUAGGGUCAAUGACUAAGUUUUUACCAAGCUUCCCAAUCCUGAAAAAAAUAUUUUGACGGCAAGAAACAGUUAAUAGUUAUCUGCUUAAUAUCCUUCUUGUUGGUAAGGGCUGACUCACUGAAUAAACAUGCGAGAAUUCUUUCUGGGUUCCCCCUUUUUCAUUAUCACCUUCAUGACUUGAUUACUAGCUGGGAUAUUUUAUUGCCACUCAGGACAUUGAGACAAAUGUAGGGAAGCCAGUCCAGUAAGGCUCGAACAUUUGUAAGUUUUAAGACACCCUUCAUUUGCUAAAUUCCCUCCACCUGGGGGUGCUCAGUGGGACUACUUUGAUUUGGGUAGGUUUCCUAAUUUGAGUAAGUCUUCCAUUACCAAGUUCACAUUAAAUUCACUUUUGGGGACCUCUUCUUGAUAUAUUGAAGGAAGUCACUCUUCCUCCCAAACUCCUGACUUACCCAAAUUUUAUGAAUACAUUUUAUGUUUCUUCUGGAUUUUGUUAAUAUUUUAAUAAGCAUAAUAUGGUUGUUGUUAGUAGACUCAGUUUAAACACAAAUAAUUAUAUAGUGUCAGCUUCUUACAAACUCUACAUUGCAGUUACUAUCAAUUUCACAAUCUAGUUCCUCCCAAAUACAGGAAGGACUAGUGUGAGACACAGAGCAAUAGAACAAGUUCUCUUGCAGUGAGAUACUCUUUUAAAGAAGUCAUAAGCUGAUCAACAAAUGAAACCUUAAUCAUAGCCUAUGGCUCUAGGGCUUCUGUUUCAAUUUUAAGGAAUAAAACAAUACUAAGAGGUCUAGGCUGUUUAAGAAUAUCUAAUAGUUGGCUAUGGGUUUCUUAAAAGCAUCACUUCUCAAGUAAGUAUUUAUCACAGUCACUGUAUUAUUUCCAAACACCUUUUAAAAAAUUCUUAUUGGAUGUGGCAAGUCAUUUCAACAAAAGGUCAGUCUGUUAUUACUAAGAAAACCAGUGAAGGAAGCAAGUUUUAUCUUUGGUGCUGACAAAAAUCUCUCCUGAGCCUGGCUCAGGGGCCAUGGCUUGCCUUCUCUCUUCUCACAUCACCAGGGAGUUAUACCUGAUAGCUCUACUUUGUGGACUCAUGGUUAUCCUCUGUGGGUGUAUCAAUCUCUUUAUCUUCUGCCUCAAGUGUGAAAAUAAUUUUCCCUCAUUUUAACCAAGACGAAUUUGGGUAUUUUCAAAGGGAUCUAUUACGUAGUAAUGAAAGUAAAAUAAAAUACAUGCAAAGAUAGAGAUCUGAGCUUUUCCUGCCCAUAAUUUUACUCUGGCAUGGUUGAGCUAGGAUAAAAUCCACUGGGUUGUCUGGUAAAGCUUAUUGGGCAGCCUGCCCUGGUUUCUUUCACCAUGCUGAGUUCUGUCUGGGUUGGAUGCUAAAACAAGAGCCUCAGACUUCCAACUUGAAGCAGAUUUUGGUUACAAGUCCUCCCAGGCCUGGUAAGAUUUUUCUGUCUCUUCUAGAACUGGCUUCUUUAAAUUCUGUAAAUUCAGCCCCCUUAAUCUGGGGCUACAGGGUUCUUGAAUUCUUUCAAAUGUCCUUGCUGGAGAAGUCUUUGCAUGUAAUGAGUUCUCAUACUGAUUAUGAUUAGUUCCAACAGCAGAGUUAACAUGCGUUGAGCAUUUUUCCCUUGCAAUGUAGUGUCCUCAGUAAUUUACACAUGUAUGGGUUUAUUCAUUUAAUCCCCAUGACAAUCCCAGGAGGCAUUAUUAGUUUUAUUUAGCUGAGGGGAAAAACUGAGGUAUAGAGAAAGUAAAGCUACUUGCCCAAGGUUGCAGAGCUCCUGGCUGAGCCCCAAAUACAGCCCGCGGCUGUUUGAUUGAAAAGUUGAAGCACCAUAUAACCCCUUUCUGAACCUGAAAGAUGCCAUCUCUGAGCUUCAAGCAAUCUUUAACUGGCCUUUGCUUUCUCCAGGAGGACACUGAGGAUUCACUAUAUUGAAGUUCUCUUGCCCUGGAUCUCCGCCAUGUUGUUUUUCUGAAAUAUUCAUAGUGGCCAAUGGUUAAAGGAUACUUUCCUUAUUUGACCCUGACUUUGUAGCUUUGGGCCAUAAAUUGUCUUCUAUUUUGACCAAGUCUCAUUCCAGAAUUCUAUCUGCAAAUAAACAUUAGCUUAUUUAAUUUGAUGGAAAAUUAACUUAAAAAGUUUCCUGAGAGAUACAAAUGUAUAUUUUUGGAGGAGUAGCCAGUGCCAUGCACUUUAGGUACAUAUUCUUGCCGACUUAGGGGUCUCAGCCUGAGACCUUUUUCUCUGUAUGCACAUUCGUCCAAAAAUAGAUUCAACCUUUGAAAUGAAACAGAUCUAUUGACUCAGUAAUUUUGUGGAUUCCUUCCACAGGGAGGAAGGAAUAUCCUUCCUCUGAGAUCCAAGUGGUAUAGCCACGCAUGUUCUCAUUAGCAGAGAUGACACUGGAGUUAUUUUCUGACUCAGUAGAAAACAUGAGAGAAGAGAAGGAAGGCUUUCCCAUUUAAGAAAUGGAGUGGGCUGGGGAAGGCAUUAUCCUUGUUAUUUAUCAUCAAAACUGCAUUUGGAGAAAUGUGCCAAGAAUGAUCAGAAGAGAAUCAUGGGCACUUCAGUUCUCCAGAACUUCACUGUCUAUAGCAGACACACACUGAAGCAGUCACAGCUCUAAAAGAAGGCAGUGUGCUUAUUUAUAAAUAAAUAUAAAUAAAUAAGCAUACUAAUUUAUGCUUGUUUAAGGGAUGUAUGGAUGAGUUAUUAAAGACAGGGGCAAAUAUCAGAAACCUAGCCAUUUUUUAGUAAAUUAAAAUGAUGCUUUAUUGGCUGGCAUAACUAAAAUGUAUAGGGGAGAGCAUUGCUUAAGGUGUGGCUGAAUCCAGGGGCCUAACUAAUGAUACAAGCAUUUGCCUUCUUUCCGUUCUUUGGUUCUGCCUUCCUCUGUGAUGGCUUUAUUCCCAGGUAGGUUUUCUUCACUUAGGGUCUCCAAAUGCUCUAGGGUUACAGUAUAGAGUUCAUGCAACCUUAGGAUAACGAUAGCUUUUCUUUUCUAAUGCUUCCAACAGACAUUCAACAAUAAGCUUAGGUUGCAUGCCAAUCCCUGAGUUGGUCUCUUGGGUUAGAAUAUAUGUGUUCUGAUUGAUUAAACCUGUGCCUAUGCCCAACCAUGGAGCAGGGACUAGGUUAGUCGUACUAACUAAGUCAUGUGGACAGAGAGUGGAUUAAGGGAUAGUUUCAAGGGAAAACCAUGAUAUUACAAGGAAGAGGAGGAAGGCAGAAAUAACAGAUGUUCACCAUGGUGCAUCCAACGUGCACCAUGGUGCAUCUCAACGGAAGUGAGAAAGUAACUAGGGAUAAAAGGCAAGGCAUAUGGAUAAGAGAAAAAUGAGAGAAAGCCCAUGUAUAAAUUGGCUAAGCCCUUCUCUGUUAAAUUUGGGAUCUUUUGUAGAGAAGGUGAGACGGUAGCUGAGAUGUGUAUUUGAUAUGGAUGAGCUAUCGUCAUUCAGUAACUGAGCCUCAGUUUCCUCUUUUUUGAAACUGUGAUAAUAUUUCUAUAAUAGUUUUGUUGGGAAUUAUCAAAAGAGAUAAUUCAAGGGAGAGAGAUUAAACAAGUCAAAGGUAUUAUAGUAGUUCCUUGCAUUCAGAAACUUGCAAGCCUCUCUAUUGGUUAUGAUUUUCUCUAUACAAUAAGGUAGAGAUGAUAAGAAAAUAUGUUAUCCCUCAAGAUCUCAGAUCAGAGUUAUGUUGAUAACCAUGAACUGUGAGAUGGGUACUGGGCAAGUGACUAGGCACAUUGUGUAUUUUCACUCAGAAAAUUUCUGUUUCAUUCCAGGUUUAUGCCUCAGCAAAAUGAUGAGCAGACCAGGGUCUGCUCAGGGUCACUGAGAGUCAAAAUAGAAGUUGCUAAAUUUAAAAAUAUGUUUCCUCUGCACUAAAAUGGGGCAAUAAAAGAGGACGCUUGAAAAAACAAACUGCUUGUUAUAUUGCUUGCUAUAAUUUGCUAUAUUCUGACUUUUCCCAAGAAGAUAGGUUUAUUUGAGGAUCUCUCUAAAUGCCCAGACAAGAAUAGAAGAGUUUUACUAAAGUAAGCUAAUACAUAUAUACUGAAAAGCAAUCAUAAUAUACUAAUUAACAUUUAUUAAUGAAUGUACACUAUGAGUACAGGUUCUCUGUGCUUAAUAUGCAUCAGCACAUGCAAUCUUCACAGUAGUUUUAUGAGGUAAGUGCAAUUAUUAUCCCCAAUUAAUGCAAAGGAAAACUGAGUCAAACAGAGAAGUAAAUUAGCCAAGGUUAUUCAGCUUGGACGUAAUGAAUUUAGGAUUCAAACUCAGAAAGCCUGUUCUGCUAACUGCUUCACUGUGAUAACAUCGUGCAUUUUUUAGGCAGAUGGACGGGGGGUGGGGGUGGGGCUGAGGGUGAUGGGUGUUGGACUCCCAGCAGGACCAGUCACCACUAUCACAAGUGAUAGCUUGUGUUUCUCCAUUGGGAAAAUGCGUGUCAGAACGGCACCUACCUCUUUGGGUUAUUUUGAGGAAGAAUAAGGUGAUGCUUUCAAGGUGUUUCGGUAGGGGCCAUUUUUGGAUGUUUUCAAAAAAUAUAGUUAUUCUUGUUAAUAAUAAUGAUGAUAAUUUUCGCAAGGUUUAAAAAAAGUAUUUGUCCAGGAGCAACUUUGACUCCCAUGGGUCAAUCUUUACAGGUAGAGUGUGGGAGUCUGCUUUUCCCAGCCCUGCAUCUCUCCCCUUUGAUGGAUUAAAUGCUCCUAUUAAGCAGAUGGCUGGGUAAAUGUCCCCAUUUUGCUGGCCUUACUUUUCUUGAGUGAUUUCCUAUUAUAGGAAGGGAGUAUCCCAUAAUAAUGAAAAAUUGGCAGUAGCUAUUGAUUAAAUUCUUUCCUACCCUUUUUUUCCUUGACUUUCCCCCAUUCGUUAAAUAUGAACACCUCAAAGACAGAUGUAAAAAGGUAAAGGGAGGUUAGCUGGGAUAGGGCUGCUUUCUUUCUCUUUAAGAACAAAAUAGUAUUUUGUUUUGUUAAAGUCCAAUCUUCCUAAUAGAUCAAGGAAAGAGAAAAAGUUUAGAUUACCCAAUUACUGGUAAUAAAUUAUUAUUUUUUCUCUGGGACAUAUGAAAUCUUAGGGUGGCAAAUACCAUCUGAGAAAUGUUCUUUUUAUUUUGGUAGCACAGCAACUCCAGAAAAUAGGUUAAUUGGUUCAGAGACUUGCUCUUACUGUUAAUGGCAUUUAGCUUGUGAAAUUGAACAACUGUAUCUCAAGACAGAAUGUUCAUAAAAUCGAUAUUCUGGUUGCUAAGUGUGUGUUUUUAAGAUAUAGUUUGAAUUAAUUUAUUCAAAGCCAGCUGGUGUUGUUCCCAGUAUAACCUCUAGGAGGAAACCUCAACCCAUGUUGUGUCUAAAAUAAUCGGGUUUUCGUUCUCUCUUUAUUCAACUUUCAUAUUGUAUCUAAGUUAGUACUUUUGAUAUUUCCAAGUUUUUUUUAAACAUUUAUGUAGAACACCACAUAAUUGCAGAAAAGAUAAUAGUCACAUACCCUAGGGCCUACUGUACACUUAUGUUAAAAGUACAGCUUUUAUUGGCAACUAAAGUAAUAACCUUUCCAUGUCAAAUUGCUUUAAAUUAAACUUAAAAAAAAAAAAAACCAUUGGCUGAUACCCACACUUAGUAAUUGUCAAACAUUAGCAUAAUGUGGAAUACUAAAGCUGCCUGAAUCUUAGGCUUAAAAAUAAUUAUUUACUUAGAUAAAUUUUGUAUGCAGUAGCAUAUUAUUAGAAAUCCUUUCUUCCUCCUCCUUCUAAAAAUGCAGGAUCAAUGUAUAUGUUAAUAUUAUACUUAGGCUUGACAUGUAAGUGGGACUGUAACUUAUGUUAGCCUCUGAGAAAGGGGUCUUAUUUAAUCUCAGCUCAUCCAUCCAUCAUAGACCACAUACAAAUGGGGUGAAUCGACACUUUGGAUGGCUUAGCGUAUUGUACUUUGUGUUGGGUGACCUAACACGUGACCCAAGGGGGAAAAAUGCACAAGUCUAUUUUUGAUUAGGCUGCAACAUGGCACAGUCUGCAUAAUUUCCAACCAUUUCAAGGCACUUGGGAGAUGAGGAUCCUAAAUGAUUGUGUAUGUGAAGCCCUCAGGCAUGGGUCGCAGCCGCCUUUCACACUAAUGCAUUUGUAUUUCCCAGAUCUCUCUUGGCUCAACCAUAGAGAUUUCCACUGAAACAAGCUUACAAGGGCUUCAGGUUGGUGGGAUUUGUGUGGUUUUCAGGCUCUAUCCCAAGACUGGGGACUAUCUGGGCACAUCUGACUGCUGCAGCCAAAAUAAUUUUUGUCAACUUUAUGGCACAUUGAUAAUUCGAAGUAAAACUUUAUCAGUAGGGACUGACUUCCUGUUGUUCACUGAUUUUAUAAAAUCCUGCUUGUAGUCACCUUGAGCAAUUCCCUUCCAAAUCUGUUGAUGAGGCAUCUUGAAAGUAACCACUUCCAAUAUCCAAGAAUGCUGACGUAUAUGGACAGCCUAAUAAGCAAGUCUGGCAACAUCAUAAGCUGGGAGUGACAGGCAAAUAUUUGGUGAUGUCUCCAGAAACUAGAGACUCAUAGGACAGGCACACAAUAGAUGCUGGAGGAGCCUUCAUUUGUCUAAACUGUAUUCUUCUAAAAGUCAAGAGGUAUGCACUCAAAGAUCUCUAAUGAUAGUGGACAGGCAGGGUUCUCAGAAGGAAUAAUAUUAUAAUCUCAAAUAUUCAGUUGAACUCCAUGUGCCUACAUUUUGGAACCCCUGUCUGCCUUCUUUCAGUUCAUACACGAAGUAAAGGAAAUUAAGGGGUUUUUUUUGUUUUGUUUUGUUUUAUUUUUUAAUUUCUCCUCAUUGAACCUGAAACCACUAAUAUCCAAGAGGCAUCUAGGAAUAAGGAAGCGAAGAUCUAGGCUCUAGGCCUGGGUUUCCACUGUGCUGGUUAACUUUGAUUUGGAAAUGAACCUCUCUGGUCUCAAUUUGCCUGUAUGCGAAGUGAUACUUGCUUUGAAAUUAAGUCACGAAAUGAGAGUGGAAUUAGAUGAGGUUUUCAAAGAUUAUGCUCCUGAAGCUAUAUAUAGUUUUAGUUUUUUUUUUAAUUUUUAAGUUUUGUGGGCACAUAGUAGAUAUAUAUGUAUUCAUGGGUAUAUGAGAAUAUACAUGAUGGACACUUCUGUUUCCUCCAAACGUGCCUUACUCAUUCCCACCUUUGGGUCAUCAGUUGCAUCAUUUUUCACCUGGAAUAACUUCUACAUUCCAUUUCAUCAUCUUUCUUGAUCAAACUCAUGCUGUUUUUUUUUUUUAUAAAGCUUUCGUCUCAUUGUUUUCUCAUCAUUCGAGAAUCAUAUGACAUGAUCAUCUCUCCUACAUCAUCUAUCAUUUUAUUAUUUCCUGCUUUGUACUGUUUAAUUUAAAACUGCUAUUCUUUCCUCCCACCCAAAGAAGAACCUUUCUUCUUUGUUCCCAAGCUGGGGCCCUGCAUAAACUCGUUCUGUAUUCUGUUCAACACUCAUUACAUUGCUCAGCACACAGUCGGAGCUUAAUAGACACUGGAUGCUUAAUUUUUUAAUUACCUGUUCACUUGGUAUCUCAUCUUAUCCUGUCGUAAAUGCAAAUGUACUUUUGUGUAUAGAUGUGACCAUUACUCCUUUUAUUUGUGGAAGAGGUACCUGAGACAGACAGGUUUAGUGAUUCGCUUGAUAAAGUUCUGAGGGAGGGUCUCCGGAUGUGUUGUCUAGUGUUUUUGUUUUUUUUUUUUUGUUUUUUUUUUCCACCAGAUAAAUAUUCUUCAAAUUUUCUUCUGCAAAUCAGUUCCAGAGAUCCUCAGGGGGCUCUCCUGGGAUGGGAACAGUGAGAACCAUGGGAUGAGAAAGAGAGUGGAGUGAUCUGAGGCACGGCUGGGUAUCUUUGCUGAUCCUCAUAUUUCAAACCCUUGCUUGUUUCAUGUCUCUUCCACAACAAUGUGAGCUUCCAUAGCUAAAGGGCUGUCUUUUCUCUGCCUUCAAUGUUCUUGCCUUCUUCUCUGAAUAGCAUGGGACAGGGCAUAAUCAGAAUAAUGCGCACUGACAGAGAGCACACUCAAUGUCAGGCAGUGAGUCAAACAUCUUUCAUGGAUAACUUCACUUAAUUCCCACAGCAGGUUUAUGGGCAACUGUGCCCAUUUUGUAGAUAAGAAAAUUGAGGCUACCAAAAACUAAACAAGAGCUGCAGAAAUGAUCUGGACCAGCUGUUAAGACUCUUGAGGAUGAUACUAUCUUAGAUUGUCAAUGGCUUGGAUUGUAGAUCUUUCUGCCUCAAGAAAAGGCAACUUGGUUGUUUGUAGAUGACUAAAUGACUUGCUCUGUGUUAGACCUCUGCCACAACCGUCUUCUGAAUUAAAGAAACUGUCUUUAAGAUAAUUUCUUAUUUACAUGGUGCACACAGGUCUCCUCUUUGGGUGACAUUUAGUAAUGUCCUUCCAGCUGGAUACAAGGGUGGGGUUUGGGUAUGGUGCACAGAGAUCCCUGAAUAGCUAUGCAAAGAAGGAGUCAAGAUUGUGAAAUUCCAUGUAUCCCAUGUGGCACGGUGGAGUGGGCAGAUCUCUUUGGUUCUUUAGUUUAGAGAUGCAAACUGAGACUCAGAAAUACUUCUGAAGAAAGUGUUUGAAAUGACGCCUGGAGCAAAACCAUAUUGGCCCAUUCAUUUAAAAAAAUCUGUUUUCUAAAACCAAAGCUUUUUGAUUCUUAAAUGGGUGAUUGAAGUCCUCAGUCAAAGCCCUUAGGUGCCUUUGAGGGACGUUUUGCAACCCCUAACCUUCUGUAGUAAAUUUUCAAUGUUUUAUUUUGUGAUAUAUGGGGAACCAAAAACCUGACUCUGGGGGCCAACAUUCCUGAGGCUCUGCCUUUGACUUUGGAAAACGGGAACCAUCAGCCUGAAAUUGGUGCAAAUUAUAUAAAAUUCAGAUUGUGCACGGCUGAAACCUUUGAAUCCUCCUUGAUCUCUCCUCUCACCUUCCCUUGCCCAAUCACUGUUUUCAUCUCCAAAAUAUCUCUUGAUCAUGCCUGCUGCUCUCCAUCCCUAUCGGCUCCACUGUAUAGGCCACCACCAGGAUCUCAUCUAAUAGCCUCAUGACAUCUGUUCUGAACUCAUCUAAUAGCCUCAGACAUCUAUUAUUGACUCCUUCCAGUGUAUUCUACUCCAGAGUUCAGAGUAAUGUUCUCAAAAUGCAAAUAUGAUUACGUGAGCCUCCCACUUCCCCAUCCCCACUAAAUACCUUUGAUGACGUUCCACUCCAUUGCUCUUAAGAUAAAGACAAAAUUACUUAAUAUGCUCUAAAAUUCUCUGCACUGUCUGGCUCUUCUGAGCUCUCUCACCUCUCCCCAAUGUCUCAGUCCCACCCUGAAUGGCCUUUUUUCAUCCUGUCUGAUUUAAAUUGUCCCUUCCUGCCACAGGGCCUUUGUGUUUGCUAUUCUCACAGCCUGGAAUGCCUGUCUCUCUUUAAUAAAGUUUUACUUAAAUUUCAUAUUUCAGCUUAAGUGGCCCUUACUCCCUGGUUGGCUAAAUGUUACGAACUGAAGGUGGGUCCACCUAUCCUGUGCAGCAAAGCCAAACACUGACAUUGAGAUGGCAGCGAGAGAAAGAGUGAGGCAUUUGUUGCAGGGUGCCAACCAAGGAGAAUCAGGCAGCUGAUGCUGAACUCUUGAACUUCUUGACAGGUUACAGGUAAGGGUUUUUAAAGGUGGGGAGGGAGAGGUUACAGGCAAAGUCAUAAAUCAAUACAUAGAGGCUGUACAUUGAUUUCACCUAAAAAGGCAGGGCAUCUCAAAGCAGGAUCCCACAGGAGUCACAGGUAGAUUCAAAGAUUUUCUAAUUUGCAAUUGCUUAAGGAGGUGAAACUUUGUCUAAAAAUUUGGGGUCAGCAUGAAACAAUGUUAGCUUUGGCUAGUAAGCGUCAUCACCUCCAGGCCCCUCAGGAAGAAAUUUAGAGCAAAGAAUGGAGGUCAGGGUUCAGUCCUCAGUUUUCCCUUAUCUUAGGUCUACGUGCCAGUAGAUCCAUUUGGUGGAGGUCCAGGUUUCUGAAAAACCACAGGAGGACAUAUGUUAAGAGGUUAUCUUUAGUUCCCUUAGGGAACAAACCAUCUUUUGACUCUAACUUCCAUGGCUGUGUUUUUAAGCUACUUUUACCUUCUUGCUUAUUAAGUUGCUCAUUUGCUUCUCAGGGCUAGCUAGGUGCCUGGAAUUUCCCUUAAAUAAACUCAAGAUUUUCCUUUAUUUCCAUGCUUGAUGGGAGAGGGAGGUGCCUGACAGGCUCCUAAGAGAGGUCCCUGCUCCAUCUCAAAUCCUUUAUGAGAGACUGUUGUGCAAUCACAUACUUUUCUUUGUAGGACUCGUCGUGUUAUAUAUUUCACAUUUGUUAGCAUGAUUUUAGCAUUAUGUUUAAAAAGUAGGCUCAACACCCAGCUCUGCCAAUUGCCAGGAAGGGGAACCUGAGCACUCAAUUUCUGUUGGCCUCAGUUUCCUCACCUAUAAAAUAUAGACAGUAAUGGUUCUUAGGAGUUGUUUUGAGGGUUAAAUAAGAAAAUAUAUAGAAAGAACUUAGGCUAUUUAUGUGCCACAAAUAAGUGCUAUCUAAGUGUUAACUAUAAUAUUCUUGUUAACUAUAAUAUGUCAGUGCUUAUCUACCCCACUUCACUAGAAGUUCUGUGGGGUCCAAGAAAAUAACUAAUUUGACGUAUGGUUGCAUCUCAAUGCAUAUCACUGACACAUAUAAGAUUAUUGCCACAUUACCACAAACUUAGAGUCUGAAUCUAACACAUGUUUAUUUUUCCACAGUUUCUGUGGUCAUGAGUCCAGCAUGACUGAGCUGAGCUUUCUGCCUCAGGGUCUCUCACAAGUCAACGUUCAAGGUAUUGGGCAAGGAUAAGGUCUCAUUUGAAGGUUUUACUGGGGAAGGCUCUUCCUCUAACCUCACAUGGUUAUUGGCAGGAUUUAGUUCCCUGUGGGUCAUUGAACUGAGAGCCUCAGUUUCCUGCUGGCUGCUGGACAGAGGCUGUCACCAGUUUCUUGCCAGGUGGGCCUCUUCUACUUGGUCACUUGCUUCAUCUAAGCUAGCAAGUUAGACAGUCUUGGCUGGUGCAGUGGCUCAUGCCAGUAAUCCCAGCACUUUGGGAGGCCAAGGUGGAAGGAUAGCUUGAGGCCAGGAGUUUGAGACCAGCCUGGGCAACAUACUGGGACCUCGUCUCUACAAAAAUUACAAAAAUUAGCUUGGUGCGGUGGCGCAUACCUGUAGUUCCAGCUACUCAGGAGACUGAGAAGAGAGGAUUGCUUGAGCCCAGGAAGUUGAAGCUGCAGUGAGCUAUGAUUGCACCACUGCGCUCCAGCCUAGGCCACAGAGUGAGCCCUUCUCUCAAAGAGAGAGAGUCUGCUAACAAGACAAAAGUCACAUCUAUGACUAAUCCUGAAAGUGACAUUCUGUGACCUUUUGUUCACAAGUAGGUUACAGGUCCUAUUUAUACUCAAAGGAAGGAUACUACACAAGGCCAUAAAUACCAAGAGAUGAGGGCCACUGGGGGGUCAUCUUAGAAGCUGCCUACAGAAUUAAUUAGUUAAUUAACAGCAACAUGUUGUUAUUGUCCAUGUAGCUCCUCAUUCUGUUAACAAGGUCACAGAAUGUAUGUCUAGAAUAGCGUUGAUCAAACCCUGUUCUGUGUAACCCUAAAGAACUAUGAGGUGUUGAGAGAUGUCUAUGGCCUGGUGAGUUUGAGAAACACUGGAUUGAACCAUGUAAAACUAGCUUGUGACAUUUUCUGAAUUGAAAAUACAAAUACGACCUGUGAUCUUCCUGGAAGAAGACAUGAUCAUAUGGCUAAAGAAUCAUAAAAGUUGUUUUUCUCCCCUUGCAGAUCACAUAUAAGCCUCUUAUAGCACAAUCUGGGAAAUGCUGACCCAUAUGUGAAUGAAUAUUGGGUGCCACCCCAAACACUGGUUUUAACACAGCUGGUAAAAGAGAACUGUGAAAAGCCAUACCUCUGGUAGAUGAUUGUGGGAUGAAUGAAUGAAUUUGGAGUUUACACAAAGCAGUCAGAAUUGUUGUUCAAACAGAGAAAAAACAAAGCCAAGGUCAGGAGAGAUGUGGGCCCUAGAUGGCACUCAUGAUUCUGUUUCUUCACCAUGAGGCCUACUGUUCUUUGAAAGCAGGACAGUCUUAUUCCAAGUAUUGGUUCUUUCUCCAAAGGAGGCUAGGCACAAAAUUGUGGAUGAACCGGUAUAAACCAUUACCUGCUAUUAGGAAAACUACUUGAAUAAACUUCUUUUGCUAUUUUUAUAAAGCAUCUAGUCUAUAUAUUUCCAUUAAAUUUUAUAACUUGAUUUGUUGCCUUCAGCCCAAACCCUAGUUUAUUCCUAACAGGCCCCAAAUCAGGAUGAAUCGUAUUGGCAGAUGUUGGGUGCCAAGACUGAAGUCACUUAUUCGAAAGGGCUCAGAAUUAUUACGGCAAAUUGAAACUCCAAAUACAAUUUGUAUCAUUAACCUCUUAGGGAUUAUAUUUUUGACUUUCUCCUAUGUGACAUAUAUCUGGUCACAUAUUCAUUGUGAACCAGUGCUUAAAAUGCAUAAUCCUCAAAGGUUACUCGCAAUCAUUUAAAAGACCCUAUAUUCAUCUCAAAACCCAGAACCGGGAGAUAAGGUUUGAGAAAUGGCUGAAUGGGAUACUGGAAUAAACAAACCAUUUCAUAGUUCUUAAAAUAAAGCACUUAUGGAGCACAUUUUUAUCUACAAAGCUUGAGAAAUGAAUGUAUUAAUCCUCACAACAUUCUUCAUAUUAUUCUCACCACAUAAUAAAUAGGGAGCAAGGGGUUGAAAGGUUAAAUUAGCUUUUUCUCCCCUCCUUGGGGAACUUGAUAUUACUUUUGAAUUAGAAUUAAGUCAUUUGUGUUCUCCAGCUUUAAGUUUGUGCUGCUUUUGCCAAAUUUACCCACUUGUGGAUUUUUGGGGGAUAGAGAAAUUAUUGCAGGGCAAUUUUGCCUCUAGAGUCCAGGUUUUUUGAGACUAGAGUCCAGAUAAAGUCAGCAUCUUGUCCAAACCUUCUUGGGAAAUGUAGGGUUUGUGUGUCGUUUCAUCAAUGGCAGGAAUCCCUGCAAACUGAAAGCGGUCUCACACAUCUUGCCUCUCUCCCUUCCCUCCUAUCCUGUUCCGUUCUCCCUACUGCCACCUGAGUGAGCUCUCUUUUUCUUUUUUCUUUCUUUUUUUUUGAGACGGAAUCUCGCUCUCUCUCCCAGGCUGGAGUGCAGUAGCACAGUCUCGGCUCACUGCAACUUCCACCUCCCUGGUUCAAGCAAUUCUCCUGCUUCAGCCUCCCGAGUAGUUGGGAGUAUAGGUGCCUGCCACUACGCCUGGCUAAUUUAUGUAUUUUUUAGUAGAAACGGGGUUUCACCAUCUUGGCCAGGUUGGUCUUAAACUCCUGACAUUGUGAUCCACCCGCCUCGGCCUCCCAAAGUGCUGGGAUUACAGGUGUGAGCCACCACGCCCGGCCUCUUUUUCAUUUCUAAAAUUUUACUUUGAAGUAUAAAGUGUACAAAAAGGUACAAAGGAUAGUACAAUGUAUUCCUAUGUCCCUAUCACCCUGCUUAAGAAAAAAUAUUAUCAGAAUAAGGAGAAACUCCCAGGGGUUUUGUGCCCCUGUAGUAAAAAACCCUUCUCUUAAAGUGUGGCGAUUAUUGUUUUCAUUUACCUUGCUUUUCUUUACAUUUUACUAUAUCUAUGUGUGUCUUGAAGCAAUAUAGAUUAUUACACCGCAUGUUUUCAGACUUUAUAUAUAUGACUGGCAUGAUAAGGCUUAUAUCUUUCUGCAACUAGUUUUUUCUCUAUGUCACUUAAUUUUAAAUUUAAGAGAUUCACCUUUGAUAUGUAAGGCUCUAGUUCAUUUUUAAUGCAAUUUAAUGUUUCACUGUAUGAAUAGAUCACACUUUUGUGCUAUUUCCUUUUGUCAGACAUUUAAGUUUUUAUAUAUAUUUCAAAUAUUGACACUACUUCUAUUAAGAUUCUUGCACAUGUAUAUUUACACACAAAUAUUAUAUUUAUUUCUAAGGUCUAUUACAAAAAGGUGAAUUGUUGGAUCAAAGGUAUUGGCGUUUUAAACUUUUAUUGACCAUUGCCACAUAGUUCUCUUGAGUGAUUAUACCAAUUUACUCUCCCAUUAACAGUGUAUAAAAGUUCUGCUUGUUCCACAUUUUGAUUGCACUCGGUAUUGUCAGAUUUGUGUAUCUGAUGGGUUUUAAAUGACACUUCAUUGUGUUUUGACUUCCAUUUUUCCCAUUCCUACCACAGCUAAAUAUCUUCUAAAAUGUUUCUAUGGUCAUUUAGGGUUUGUGUUCUGGAAAUUUGUCUAAAAUUUUUAUCAGUUUUUCAACUGGAUGGUCUUUUUAUUGAUUUAUAAUUGUUCUUUAUAUAUUCUGGAUAUCAAUUGUUUGUCAAUUAUAUGUUUUGCCAAAAUUAUUAAUAUUUUCUUCAAGCUUGUUCUUUGUUGCCUUCAGUUUGGCCUUGAUUACUCCUGCAGUCUUGUUUCUAAACAUUCUCCAUCUCCUACUUAAGUUUUGGCAAAUACGUCUCAUUCUUCCAAGUUCUUGCUCACGUGGUCCCCUCUGCAGUUACCUGCUCUUUGGCUGGUUAACAUUUAUUACUUUUUCAUAACCCAAUAUUCUGGGGAGUUUUUGCUACCCUGCACCGUCCCUCUCUGUGUACUUGCAUGUUCCCUGUGCAGACCUGUGAAGACCUGUCAGCUUAUCUCCUCUCAGAAGUAACUGUCCUGAGGAAGAACAUAGUGCCACAUGAGUUUUGCCAACUUCACAUAUGGCUUUGGUGAAGCCUUCCUGAAUGGCCUACCAGAAAUGGCUGGUGAAAUGGCCUUCCGAGGAAAUGUUCAGCCAAGGCUCAGCUACAGAGUCCAGGUCCUAUAUCAACACUCUGAUUAAUUUAGUUUUGGCAGUAUUUUCAUUGGGGGUGCAUAUUUUCAUACUCUUUUUUUUUAAUUUGAGACAGGGUGUUGCUCUAUCACUCAGGCUGGAGUGCAGUGGCACCAUCACAGCUCACUGCAGCCUCAACCUCCCAGGCUCAAGCAAUCCUGCCACCUCAGCCCUCUGAGUAACUAGAACUACAGAUACGAGCCAUAACAUCCGGCUAAUUUUUGUAUUUUUUUGUAGAGACGAGGUUUCACUGUGUUGCUCAGGCUGGUCUCGAACUCUUGAGCUCAAGCAAUCUGUUUACCUUGGCCUCCCAAAGUGCUGGGAUUGCAGGCAUGAGCCACCAUACCCGGCCCAUCAUAGUCUUUCAAACCAGCAGCAUUUUUAUCCAGUUUUCAAAGGCAGUUAUCCACUUGAAAGAGUGGGGGGGGGGGGGGGGGGAAGCACCAAAUGUAGUUUUCUGAAGUCUAGAAAAAAACUCAUAGAAAUUUUUCCCUAAUUCUUUCCCAAGAAUCUUUUCCAAAUGGAACUCAUCGAAGAACUUCCAAUUUCCUGCCUAAAGUGAACGUGAAUCUGAACGAUAUGUUAAUUUACUCUGUUCUCUUGUGUGAGUGACAAGGACAUGCAUUGGGACAUCUAUUAUUUUGAAGCUGGGAUCUAGCCCAACUAAGGGGGGAAAAAAUCAACAUACCAAACUGUGUAUUAUUUACACAUUUCAAUAUUUAAUUUCCUGUCUCCAUUACACAUAUUUUAGUAUGCAGAUUAUUUGCCCAACAUAAUUUAUCAGUUCCUUGUUAGAUAAUAUUCUCCUCAGGGUACAUAUUGUUCAUAUUUAGAAAUUCUUAUUAAUCUUGAGAAUCACAUUGUUUAUCCAACAAAAUUAUUACAGCUUUGAUGAAGCUUUUAAAGUGUAACAUGUAAAUCACUAUUUUCUCACUUUCAUAAGCAGCUGAAUUUUUGAUCUGGUGGAUUAUUAUGGUUUAGAAGAUAUUUAGUCUUAGGGAAAAUGCACAAGAUGGUGCAGUAAUGUGUAGAUGAGGCUAUAUAAUUACAACUGCUGUUAAUGACAAAUUGCUAUCACUGUAGCUACCCCCUCCUCCAAAUUGCCUUUGUUCAAUAGAUAAAUGAGUAGUGCUAUCCAGUGUUGUUAUAAAUCAGAUGGGUCCAAUAUUUAAAACCAUACAUAUUAUAAUAACAAAUGACAGGAUGGAAGAAGUAAACACAUAUUUAGGUACUUAUAAUUACUUAUUUUCUAAAUUUUAUAUUGAUUACUUUGCCUGGGAAAAUAUUGGGGACAUUUUUUAUGAAAAAAAAACGUACAAGAAUUGCAUUAUAAGAGGCAUAAUUAUUAUUUGAUAAUUUACCUCGUUGUUUACAUAUAGGUUUAUUUUGAUGCUGGAUGAGGCCAUCCCAAGUGCAUUAAUUGUAUAGAUUAAAGAGUGAGAAAAUAAAUAUGUCUUUUAAUUUUUUAGUGUUUUUGAGAAAAAAGUACCUUCCUUCUUUGUGAAUUAUGGUUUUACAUGAGACAAUAAGCGUUAUUUACACUACAUGCUAAUGUAUUUAAAAUACCUUACAUCUGGAGAGCCUUUUACCUCUUGCAAGCAUAUUUAUAUCCGUGGUUGCAUUUUGUCCCUCCAGUAUCCCUGGAAUUAUAGAAUUCCUCAUUUGACUCGUAAGGAAACAGACCAAAAAGGUUAAGUGGCUUAAAUAAAGCUGAAAAAUCAAUUAAUAACGAAACUAAAAUUAUAAUUUCCUGACUUCACAGAUAAUGGCUUUUUGAAAACAUAGACAAAAUGUAGAAGGUUGAACAAUGAUUAAAAGUUAUGAGGUUUUGUAAUACAAGUUAUGAAGGUUUGGUAGUGUUCCAAUAUUGGAAACAAAUGAUCAGUUCCCUAGUUAUAUCCACUAGUUUCUGUCUUUAAUAUAUUUUCAACAUUUCCUUUGUGUUCUUGACUUAGGUCUUUUCCUUCAUAGUUAACAUAUAGCUAAAGUCCAGUGAGCAUUCAACGGAGGAAACAUGCUUGCCAUUUUCAGGAUGUUUAGAGAUUCCAUCUUAGUCUUAUCUGAAUUAAGUUGAUAAGCUCUACACAUUUUGUUUUUACUAAAAUCAGCAAUUUCAUCUUUUUCUCCUCUUCUCUAUUCUUAGCAAUAAUAAUAUAACUUUCAAACAAAUUCCCAUAAGCUGCUACCCAGAUGAAAUAUAACAAAGCCAUCAUGAAACUGUGAGGAAUAUCUGUUCAUCAGCUGAUGUAAAAAUACUUCAAUUUGGCAUCAAAAAACUGUUUUAACUGUGAACAUAUAACAUACUGAAGUAUGAUUCUUAUCAAAUUUGAAGACCAUCUGUAGUAAUUUUUCUAGGGACGUCUGGGAUCUUUCUGAGAAUCCCACUUCGUAGUUGAAUGGAAAGACCAUUGGAGGAGCAUCUCUAGUCUCCAGUUCAGGCCACUUCUUUCCCAGAUUUUUCAUUCCUCUUUCACCAAUGAGCUGGGUGGCAGGGGUGAUAUCAUGUCUAUUCUGUAAGGUAAACUGGGUAAAGGAGGGAGAAUUCAUCACUGAUCUUGUACGAACAGCUCCAAGUUCAAGCUCACAGUCAAUGAGCUUAGAGAGUCAGCUCCUGGUUCAAAGGAUUGCAUCUUGACCCUGGUCUCUAAAUGCGUGCAAACUGGGUCUCUGUAGUCAUCAGGAGAGAAUGGACAUAGAGAGCGAAAGUUAAUGGAUGUAUUUGGUUGUUCCUUCGGCUUUGAUUGCUCUGCUCUGCUCUUUGCUUUGGCCCAGCCUUAUUCCCCUUUCCCUCUCUUAUGUACAGUGCCUCUCUGUUGAGAAUGGUGUGAUUAAAGGGAAGCAGACCAGCCCCUUUGAUAGCCAAUUUGGAAAACUUUCUACUAAAAACCAUUUUUCUACUUCAGGGAUUGCAAACUCAAAUGCACAGUGAAAUGGGUCAUAUAAAUAUGUAAAGCAGGCCAAGGUUGGCACUUGAGUGAUGUGGACUCUGGCAAACUGGAAUGCCCCACCUAAAGGAGUGGCUUCCACUAAGCUUCAACAAAUUGGUACCGUGCUGGAAUGCAGGCCCACGGUUACCUGAGUAUCUCAGGUUUUUCAACAAAACCCCCAAAUCUGGAUUUUUGUAUGAAAUCUCUUGAUUUAACAAAUUAAAAAACAAAGCAAACCAUCAUGUAGGCCAAACAAAAUAUGCCAGAUUGCAAUCAGUAUUUCCAUGUGAAUGUGGAGACCAGAUUGAGGGAGAGGGAAGAAACGAAGGCUAUGGCAAUGUUUCCCAGUUUACAUAAGUUACCUGCAUCUAGAUGUAUGAGGUUAAUCCCAAGCCAAAUGGUUUCCUGCCAUAUAGAAAUGGCAGAGCAAACUUCUUAUCCCAGUGUAUGCAAAAUUUGCACAUCUAUACAUUUUUAUGGUGAAAAUGUCAAUGGCUUUUAUUAGAUUCUCAAAAAGUCUGUCACCCUAAAAGAUUGUGAAUCUCUUCGGUUACAUCCUUGACAAGUUGUCAUCUAGUUUCUACUUGAAUUCUCCUGGGAGCAGGAAACUUACUACUGCACAAGAUAGCCCACUCCUAAUUUAGACAGCUCUGAAGGUAGAAAACUUCUUAUUGGCGAAAAUUCUUACUCAACUCUUUUGUUAUUGGAGGCUAAAAAAGGCAUCUAAUCUUUAACUAGGAAAAUGCACUUGAAACAAUCAUCUUAGAAAUUAAGAGGUUGCUAUAAUUUCCUGUAACUAUCACACAUUCUUGCAAAAAAUGAGCGUUAUUAAAUUGUGAUAGUUACUAAUGGAAUUUCUAAUUCUUUUACAAUUAAGGUCAUUGAAUCUUUACGUCUUGCCCUUCAUCCUGAGACUAUUUGCAUGAAAAUAAAGUCUCCAAGUUUCAGCAUGUUCUAUUGAUUCAUUUAAGCUUUUUUUUUUUUUUUUCCUAUCAUAGAUUUCUAGAAACGUAGAAUUGGAAAUGACCUAAGCUUCUGUGGUAGAACGGAAAACCCAAUGGUGUUCAAGUCAGAAGAUCCUGGAUUGAUUUUUCUGCUUUUUAUUAAUUGUAUGAUGUUAAGCUGGGAGUCUUGGUUUCCUCUUCUGAAUGUGAGAGUCCAAUAAAGUCUUCACAGGACUUUUAUAUUUGUUAAAAGCAAAUACGAAUAGGCAGUUUAGUGUAGCAAUCAGCAAAACCUCGUGUUUUUUUUUUUCCUACGCUGCGAUACUGUGCGCUAGUUAUUUAACUUCUCCAAGUCUCAAUUUCCAUAUCUGUAACAUGGAGCUACCAGUUCCUACCUCUAGGAGUAUUUUAACCAGUGAGUGAAAUCAUGCAUGCAAGGGAUUCUCAGGGCGCCUGACAAGCAGUAGAUAUUCAAUUAAUGUUUGCCAUUUGAUGAUGCUGAUAGAAGUAAAAGCCCUAGGUAAUAUGUAAAGUUUAAAACGAUUAUGAUCACUGGAACCCUUAAUUCUGAACAUGGAGAGGAGGAUGCGAACACCCCCAAGGGAAAAGGAGCUGGGUCAAGGUGUACCCCAAACCGUGUCGGACCUUUACAGAGUGCCAGGAGCUUAAAACUAUUUUAAAACAUCUUUCAAAUGAAAAUGCAAAACUGUCAUAAGUUUUUAGAACACCUCAAGAGAUUCCACAGAAACUUGCUUUUGUGGCAGUCCAUAUAAACUGGGUGUCAAGGCCUGGGGUGUGUAUCUCUAUGUGUGGGUAUGUUGGAAAUUUAGAAGCUCAAUUACCUCCAGGCCUUCGUUUUUCACAUAUGGAUCUCCCAUGGGAAGUAAUCUGGCAAAUUUUAGGAUUCUGUUCCCUUCAAUGUGAACUUCUGAACAGAAAGACUCCUUCUAAUGUAGGUUCUCAGUAGCCUCAACUAUUCUAUUUAAAGUAGUAAUUAUGUGUGAAUUUGGGGGGAAAGCAGUAAAAAAAAUCAACAUUGGGAAAGGAAACAGAAAUAUGCCUAAGCCAAGCACCCUUUCUCAAGGAUUGCCAUCAUAUAUAGAACCUUACUCAGGGAGAGAUUUUUUUUUUCUCCUUUCAUAGUCUCCAGACAGAAUCAAGGGAAAUGUAACCCCAAUUUUAAAAGAUAGGCUGAAAUUAUAGGAAAGUAAUCUUUCCAUUGACUAAUUCACUUUGCUUUCC
rnacentral:lncRNA from 1 species